UACGGAGGGUGCAAGCGUUAUCCGGAUUCACUGGGUUUAAAGGGUGCGUAGGGGGGCAGGUAAGUCCGUGGUGAAAUCUCUGAGCUUAACUCAGAAACUGCCGUGGAUACUACCGGUCUUGAAUAUCGUGGAGGUGAGCGGAAUAUGUCAUGUAGCGGUGAAAUGCUUAGAUAUGACAUAGAACACCAAUUGCGAAGGCAGCUCACUACCCGAAUAUUGACUCUGAGGCACGAAAGCGUGGGGAUCAAACAGG
rnacentral:rRNA from 1 species